GGAGGCGUAAGGGUGCCUGGUGGCCCCCGCGGUCUUCAAAACCGACGUGGCCGAGCAACUCGGUCAGGCGGGUUCGAUUCCCGUCCGCCUCCGCCA
rnacentral:tRNA from 2 species